UAGUGGCGCACGGGUGCGUAACGCGUGGGAAUCUGCCCUUGGGUUCGGGAUAACAGUUGGAAACGACUGCUAAUACCGGAUGAUGACUUCGGUCCAAAGAUUUAUCGCCCAGGGAUGAGCCCGCGUCGGAUUAGCUAGUUGGUGAGGUAAAAGCUCACCAAGGCGACGAUCCGUAGCUGGUCUGAGAGGAUGAUCAGCCACACUGGGACUGAGACACGGCCCAGACUCCUACGGGAGGCAGCAGUGGGGAAUAUUGGACAAUGGGCGAAAGCCUGAUCCAGCAAUGCCGCGUGAGUGAUGAAGGCCUUAGGGUUGUAAAGCUGUUUUACCCGGGAAGAUAAUGACUGUACCGGGAGAAUAAGCCCCGCUGAUC
rnacentral:rRNA from 1 species